AGAGUGAACGCUGGCGGUAGGCCUAACACAUGCAAGUCGAACGGCAGCACGGUAAGAGCUUGCUCUUAUGGGUGGCGAGUGGCGGACGGGUGAGGAAUACAUCGGAAUCUACCUUUUGGUGGGGGAUAACGUAGGGAAACUUACGCUAAUACCGCAUACGCCCUUCGGGGGAAAGCCGGGGGCCAGCAAUGGCCUGGCGCUGAUAGAUGAGCCGAUGUCGGAUUAGCUAGUUGGUGAGGUAAUGGCUCACCAAGGCGACGAUCCGUAGCUGGUCUGAGAGGAUGAUCAGCCACACUGGAACUGAGACACGGUCCAGACUCCU
rnacentral:rRNA from 1 species